CACACUGUGUUGCAUGGAAUUAGCAGGACAGAAGAGAAAGCACCAUCCACUGACCUGCAGGCUGCUGACAUGUUGCCAUGCUAAUGCUUGCAGGAUUGUAACAACCCCACAAGACAUCCUGGCAAUGCAUCCCACCACUACAGCCUGCUUGCCUUGCUCAGCAGAACAAACUGAUGGACAGUAACCACUUCUUGGAUGGCUCACUCCAGGCCAAGUCAGCUUGAACUUCGGCCUUUGUUUUCCACAUGCGAAAGAUUCUGUAUGAUAC
rnacentral:lncRNA from 1 species